rnacentral:rRNA from 1 species
AUUGAACGCUGGCGGCAGGCCUAACACAUGCAAGUCGAGCGGAUGAAGGGAGCUUGCUCCUGGAUUCAGCGGCGGACGGGUGAGUAAUGCCUAGGAAUCUGCCUGGUAGUGGGGGAUAACGUCCGGAAACGGGCGCUAAUACCGCAUACGUCCUGAGGGAGCAAGUGGGGGAUCUUCGGACCUCACGCUCUCAGAUGAGUCUAGGUCGGAUUAGCUAGUUGGUGGGGUAAAGGCUUACCAAGGCGACGAUCCGUAACUGGUCUGAUAGGAUGAUCAGGCACACUGGAACUGAGACACGGUCCAGACUCCUACGGGAGGCAGCAGUGGGGAAUAUUGGACAAUGGGCGAAAGCCUGAUCCAGCCAUGCCGCGUGUGUGAAGAAGGUCUUCGGAUUGUAAAGCACUUUAAGUUGGGAGGAAGGGCAGUAAGUUAAUACCUUGCUGUUGUGACGUUACCAACAGAAUAAGCACCGGCUAACUUCGUG